GCAGGUGGAGCUCAGUGGUAGAGCGUGUGCUUGACAUGCACUAGGUCCUGAGUUUAAUCCCCAGUACCUCUA
rnacentral:tRNA from 1 species